rnacentral:rRNA from 1 species
AGUGAACGCUGGCGGUAGGCCUAACACAUGCAAGUCGAACGGCAGCACAGUAAGAGCUUGCUCUUACGGGUGGCGAGUGGCGGACGGGUGAGGAAUACAUCGGAAUCUACUUUUUCGUGGGGGAUAACGUAGGGAAACUUACGCUAAUACCGCAUACGACCUACGGGUGAAAGCAGGGGAUCUUCGGACCUUGCGCGAUUGAAUGAGCCGAUGUCGGAUUAGCUAGUUGGCGGGGUAAAGGCCCACCAAGGCGACGAUCCGUAGCUGGUCUGAGAGGAUGAUCAGCCACACUGUAACUGAGACACGGUCCAGACACCUACGGGAGGCAGCAGUGGGGACUAUUGGACAAUGGGCGUAAGCCUGAUCCAGCCAUACCGCGUGGGUGAAGAAGGCCUUCGGGUUGUAAAGCCCUUUUGUUGGGAAAGAAAAGCAGCAGGUUAAUACCCCGCUGUUCUGACGGUACCCAAAGAAUAAGCACCGGCUAACUUCGUG